UGGUGGGUAGUUUGACUGGGGCGGUCUCCUCCUAAAGAGUAACGGAGGAGCACGAAGGUUGGCUAAUCCUGGUCGGACAUCAGGAGGUUAGUGCAAUGGCAUAAGCCAGCUUGACUGCGAGCGUGACGGCGCGAGCAGGUGCGAAAGCAGGUCAUAGUGAUCCGGUGGUUCUGAAUGGAAGGGCCAUCGCUCAACGGAUAAAAGGUACUCCGGGGAUAACAGGCUGAUACCGCCCAAGAGUUCAUAUCGACGGCGGUGUUUGGCACCUCGAUGUCGGCUCAUCA
rnacentral:rRNA from 1 species